CAUGGAUGGAAACAAGAGCAGCAUGACACCAAGGGCAACUGUUAAGAUGGUGCUGCAAUGAAGAACUGUUGUUGCCCUUGGUGUCAUGCAGCUCCCUGUUUCUAUUCAUG
rnacentral:pre_miRNA from 1 species